rnacentral:rRNA from 1 species
CAAUAGCGUAUAUUAAAGUUGUUGCAGUUAAAAAGCUCGUAGUUGGAUUUCUGGUGGGAGCGAUCGGUCUGGCGCUUAGCGCGAGUACUUGCAUCGUCUCCGGCCAUCCUUGGGGAGAGUCUGUCUGGCAUUAGGUUGUCGGGCAGAGGAUCCUCAUCGUUUACUGUGAAAAAAUUACAGUGUUCAAAGCAGGCUUAUGCCGUUGAAUAUAUUAGCAUGGAAUAAUAAGAUAGGACUUUGGUACUAUUUUGUUGGUUUGCGCACCAAAGUAAUGAUUAAUAGGGACAGUUGGGGGUAUUCGUAUUCCGUUGUCAGAGGUGAAAUUCUUGGAUUUACGGAAGACGAACUACUGCGAAAGCAUUUACCAAGGAUGUUUUCAUUAA